rnacentral:tRNA from 1 species
GCCUAGGUGGCUCAGUGGGUUAAGCGUCUGACUUCAACUCAGGUCAUGGUCUCAUGGGUUUGAGCCCCAUGUCAGGCU